UUAGGAGGCCUGGCCAUGGGGGUCUUAGUGGGCCCGCCCUUCGGGAGUGUGCUGUAUGAGUUCGUGGGGAAGACGGCUCCGUUCCUGGUGCUGGCUGCCUUGGUGCUCCUGGAUGGAGGUGAGUGAGGCCGCGUGGGCACUGUUGCUGUGACCAUGGCCU
rnacentral:lncRNA from 1 species